CCGGGUCCGACUGGGCCAUGGAGUCCAUGUCUGAGCUCGCGCCCCGCUGCCUCCUGCUUCUCUUGCUGCUGCUGCCGCUGCUGCUCCUCCCUGCCCCGAAGCUGGGCCCGAGCUCCGCCGGGGCCGAGGAGACCGACUGGGUGCGAUUGCCCAGCAAAUGCGAAGUGUGCAAGUAUGUUGCCGUGGAGCUGAAGUCAGCUUUUGAGGAAACAGGGAAGACCAAGGAAGUGAUUGACACAGGCUACGGCAUUCUGGACCGGAAGGCCUCUGGAGUCAAGUACACCAAGUCGGUAUGUCGGAGACCUUUGAGACUCUGCACAACCUAGUCCACAAAGGGGUUAAGGUGGUGAUGGACAUCCCCUACGAGCUGUGGAAUGAGACCUCAGCUGAAGUGGCUGACCUCAAGAAGCAGUGUGAUGUGCUGGUGGAGGAAUUUGAAGAGGUGAUCGAGGACUGGUACAGGAACCACCAGGAGGAAGACCUCACUCAGUUCCUGUGUGCCAACCAUGUGCUGAAGGGCAAGGACACCAGUUGCCUGGCAGAGCGGUGGUCUGGCAAGAAGGGGGACAUAGCCUCCCUGGGAGGGA
rnacentral:lncRNA from 1 species